GGGAGUGCAAAUGCUUAUGAUGUAUGACAAAAAAUUGAAUGACAAGUUAUAGUUCUUUAUUUAUGCUAUUCAGAAUUGUACAAAGAAAAUAACAAAAAUGGUUUUCAAUUUUGGGUACAAACUUGUGAUGACUCUUGAAAAGAGUUAUAUUUAAUGCCUUUAAACCUAGCUAAUUGCUUGUACUUAAGUACAUUUUGUUGCAUUUUAGUACAUUUUAAUUAGCAUUUUUAAUAUUGCAUUAGG
rnacentral:lncRNA from 1 species